AAAAUUUUUGGGCAAAACCAUCGAAAGAUGGUGACUGCAAAGCCAUUGGGUCUAAAGCUCUAAUUAGUAGGGUUACGAUAGCCAGGUUGCCAUU
rnacentral:ncRNA from 1 species